UUGAAAUGUCUACUUUGAUCAUAUUACAGAAACAAGUGAGACUAAGGGCUAUGACCUGAACAUUAAUUAGUGUAUUAUAAAGGAUGAGUAGUUUUCCAAUGUAAAAUAUACCAAUGCAGUAAAUAAAAGGUAAUUAAUUCUGGGUGACAGCAUUUUGCAGCGAUUCACGGAGAGGAGAUGCAGCCUAUGUGAAUGUAAUGUAUGGUUAUGCAGUGCUACUCCCUGUCAGAGUAAGGGGAGCAUUAUUCUGCAGUACGCUAACUAUUCUGCUCCUUUUAAUUACCUAUUAAAACUACACCUUUUAAUAUUUCAAUGCAAAUGGACAUGCAGAACUGUGGUAAUUAGCAGCAUGUUGAUGUAGGAUUCAGAUGGUGCAGCCUGGUCACAAACAAUGCUGUGUAAUCAGCUGCAGGAAAUGUUUUUCUCUUAUGAUAGUGUGUAAUGGCUUAAACUGUAAGGAAGGGCAAAACAUUGAGGCUUUAGGAAUGAGAAGUUUGCAUGCAGAUUGUGCGUCAUCUGCUGCAGCUAUCAGCUAAUUGUCCUUCAGCUGUUACACACCUGGAGAAACAAAUACCAUGAGACUAUGAAAACUGUAGGAGGUGGCAUGCGAGACCAUAGAGACACUCCUUUAGUUACUUCUGGAACAUGGCUUUGAAAAACAUAGGUGUGCUACCUUCUGCAUUUUCUGCAGCCAUUACACUCUGAUAUUCUCAGCUCUGUGGCCUCUUGCAAAAAGUCCAGGCUCUUCCAACAUGAUUGGUUUUAGUUCAGAGGAAGCCAGACACUGUUCUUUUGAUGUAAUUUACCAUGAAAUUGAGAAUUCCUCCUGGUUUUUGUUAUGUUUGAGAGAACUUUACCUAAGUUCAGCUUUGGAAUUAUGUCCUAUCAAUGUCAACUGUGGUUUACAAGUAAGCUCUAGUGUUUGUAUCAGUAAUAUUUUUUGAAAACAGACAUCCUGAAAAUAGCUGUAAAUAUAUUCCUCAUUCAGGUGUGGAUGUUGGUAGGAACUGAAAAUCUACCAUUCUUGCAAAGGCAAUUGUUAAAACCAGCUUUACUUCACACGUAAACUUGACUGAAUGGUGUGGAUGAACCUUUAUGUGCUCAUGUCUCUUCAGUGUCUCUGAAUUAAAAUAUCACUGUAUGUAACUGUGACAGCCAGGGAGACCUUUCUUGAUGUAAACAACUGAGGUGAAGGAAUCCUGUAAGCAGGAUUCCAUGGUAUAGUUUGUAUAUAAGGCCCUUGUUUUCCUUUUACUUAAGAGGCAAUAACUUUAAAUUGACCUGUUUUUGAAGUACAGUGUAACUGCAGGUUUGAAGUAAUGCAGUUAGUGUAUGUGAUGUGAGCAUCUGACCUGGAAUGUGGGCUAUUGGAGAACAAAUAACGUUUGCUGUAUGUCUGAUCUGUGUUGAGUAUUUCUAUAGAGCCGAGAAAAGGGUUAGGGAGGCUGAUGAGCCUGAAUGUACAGAUGUAGCUUUUGCUCCCCAAAUACAUUACUCUUGCUUACUUACAGAGAGUCAUUCAAGUUACCUUUUUUGUGUGCGCUCUCAACUUGAAGCAAGAAUGUAGCUGAAGAAAAGGAGAAUCCCAGAACUUCUUACAGAAAAAUGAGAGAAACCAACUUGUCUGCUUCAACACUGUCAUGAUUAACUGUUUUUUCCAAGCCAAAUGCUCAAAAAUUGUGACUGUUAGAGAAAAGAUCUGGUUAAGAAUAAAACUUGGAUUUUGAAGUGUUUGAGCAACUUGCUACUGCCCAAGUCAUGACACUCCCAUUUCGAAAGGACUUGGACAAGUACAAAGAUCUUGAUGAGGAUGAAAUUCUUGGCAAACUUUCAGAAGAAGAACUGAAACAACUGGAAACUGUUUUGGAUGAUCUUGACCCUGAGAACGCACUUCUCCCUGCAGGCUUCCGACAGAAAGACCAGACUGCUAAAAAGGCUUCAGGUCCCUUUGACAGGGAACGACUCCUGGCAUAUUUAGAGAAGCAGGCUCUUGAGCACAAAGACAGGGAAGACUAUGUGCCUUUUACAAGAGAAAAGAAAGGGAAAAUAUUUAUCCCCAAGCAAAAGCCUGUACAGUCUUACACAGAAGAAAAAUUCUCUCUUGAUCCAGAACUGGAGGAAGCCUUGACCAGUGCCACAGACACAGAAUUAGGUGACCUUGCAGCUAUACUGGGAAUGUCCAACUUGAUAACAAACAAUCAGUUCUGUGAUGUAGUAGGAAGCAGUAAUGGGGUUGACAAAGACAGCUUCUCAAAUAUAGUAAAAGGUGAAAAAAUGUUGCCUGUUUUUGACGAACCGCCAAAUCCCACAAAUGUGGAGGAGACACUGCAAAGGAUUAAAGAGAACGAUUCUCGUCUUGUUGAAGUUAAUCUAAAUAACAUUAAGAACAUACCAAUUCCAACGCUGAAAGAAUUUGCAAAAGCCUUAGAAACCAACACGCAUGUGAAGAAUUUUAGCCUUGCAGCCACCCGAAGCAAUGAUCCUGUUGCUGUUGCUCUUGCGGAUAUGCUGAGAGUAAACACAAAAUUGAAAAGUUUAAACAUAGAAUCAAACUUCAUCACUGGAGUUGGAAUUUUGGCACUGGUUGAUGCACUGAAAGACAAUGAAACAUUGACAGAGAUCAAAAUUGAUAAUCAGAGGCAGCAGCUGGGCACAGUUGCAGAAGUAGAAAUUGCCAAGAUGCUUGAAGAAAACACCAAGAUCCUCAAAUUUGGAUACCAUUUCACACAACAGGGACCUCGAGCCAGGGCAGCUGCAGCUAUCACAAAAAAUAAUGAUUUGGUCUGGAGUAUGCGAGUAAAAGUUUCUGCAAAUACCUUUUCAUCUCUCGAGCCCUGAAGCUACAGAGACAGGUUACUCUGAAUACCCAGUUGGGUAUUGAGCACUGAAAACUGAGAUGUUCAAAGUCUCUCACUUCUGUCUUUUUCGCAAGAGAAGGGUUGAAGGAGACAACUAGCAGAUCUUAUUGUCAAAACUACGUGGAGAUUUCAAGGGUUGUCAAGGCACGCUCAUCACCGUGGGCUUUGGCAAUCUUGGACUACAUUUACCUGGGUUAGAAGGGAAAAGACUGGAAACCCCAUUCCUUUUAAAGCAAAGCUAUAUUAGUAAUCUUUUGGUAUGCAUCACGUUUUUCAGAUUGAGACACAGUAACUGUACCAGUCUCUGUACCAUAGGUUUUGAUUGUUUUUUUUAAGAACUUUUUUGUAUUCAAGACUUUGGCUGUACUUUCUACUAAAAAUGUAAUUGCAAAUCAAUGGUAUAAUUGUCUGUAGUCAAAGAAUGGGACAUUCAAGAUCAUUGGGCAGAUAAUGACCCAACUGAAAUGUUUGUUACAAAAUCUGGGGGUGCUUAUUUACAUGGAGGGGUGUGUAUAUUCUUAAAAACAAUGUAUUAGUGAAAAGGGAUUCUUCACACAACAGUUGGACUCAUUGUGUAGAGCUGUUCAGCCUUGUUCAUAUGCACUGAAGAGAAAUCUUUCACAGCUAUCUUAUUUGUAAGUCUACUUUUUUAUUUUUUAGUAGAUCUUGAUACUGUGAUUAAGUUUAAAGACAUCCCUUUAAACCAAACAAAAAUAAAUUGGCUAAGGACUUCUCCCAAGAGAUUUGAGGGACUAAUAAAGAAGUGGAAGCCUUGGGGGGGGGGGGGGGCGGGGAAGUAGGAGCCUUGCAAAAUGAGAGUUGUUCUAUUACACCUAAACUCUUAAAGUCUUUUUCAAAAGGUUCCAUAACUGUAUCUUGCUCUGUAUCUAAACUGGAUAUCUUUUUAGACUGAUUUCAUGUGUUCAUCACCAUUAUUUAGCUUAUAUUCUUUGCUUAAAAAUCCUUAUCUACAUUCAUAAGUAUCAAUUUUGCUAGAAGUAGUGGACAUGCAUUUUUUAAGUUCUGCAUAAUUCUGUACAGGAAAAGCAGCCUUAACUGUAAAACCACUGUCCUAAGUUGCUGGCAAAUGGAAAAAUCCUUUUUUAGAAGCUGUUGCAUUAAGCUAUUAGUACUUCAUGUAAAUCUUCUUUUUUUUUUUUUUAAUAAAGCAAUGAAUUAACACUUUUAAGAAAGGAUUUUUGUAUUCUACUUAUGUCUUGAUGUUGAAACACUACAUAAGACAUGCAGAAAUUAACCAGUAUGCAGUGUCAAAUCUGUAUGGUGGAGUAAUUAUUAAAGUAUUUAAAGUUCUAUAUCUAAGCAAACUAAUAAGACAAGAAUCACUUCAACUUCUGUACAUAAUCACAGUAGACUUCUUUGAAAUAAUAUGAAAAUCUAGAGGCUUUUAGGUGUAGGUCUGUUUGGACUGUACUGUACUAGUUUGCUCAAUGUCAUGAGAUCAUAAACUCACAAAAAUGUUCUAAAGGACUGCUCAGCUAUAUUUAUAGCAACAGAGAAUUCAACUGACAGCUCUUUUCAUCAAAGGAUCAUAAUAUGGUGAGCAUUUUAUGUAUAGAAAACAUAUUGGACUGAGAUUUUUGCAUCAGGUUGUAUAUACUAGAAAAAUUUAACAGAGCAACUCCCUGACACUGUGCCCAUGUUGUAAACUGCUGCAAAUCUUGUUUUGGAGCUUUAAAGACAGACUUUUAUUCUGGAGGUGACUUCAAAUUUUACUGCAACUGUACAGAGAAUUUUAAACUAGAGUGCCUUCAGUGAGGAUGUAUAUAACUGGUUCAUACUUGUGGAAGAACAUUUUUUUUCCAAUUUCAAAAUUGGCCUUUUCUUAUAAUUACAAAUAAAUGUGUGCUCUGAAAAGCAAGUCGGAAUUAAUUGUUAAAACUAAAGACUAUACAUACUCUAACUUUCAAACAACUAGAAGUGAACCGACUAGUAACAAAAAGGGCUGCUUUGGUUUUGGCUUUUGUAAAUUUCCAAGAACUUUUAAGAUUUUGAAAUUUAAGUUCUUAUAUAGUAUGCAUAAAUUCACAAGUUAAGUGUCUUUUUACAGACAGUGCUGUAUAAACAUGGCCAAAGCAUGUCAUGUGCUGAGUUGCCUAAAGCUGUACUUUUUAUUUACUAGGCACCAUAAUAAUUUUGUGUCAAAAAAACAGGCUGUAAUGUCUUCCUUCAUUUGUUGAAGGGCUGCAUGUUCAUGGAAUCUGUUUGCGUAUUGAUUCUAUGAUGAUUCAUUUUAUCAUUAUCUAAAAAGAUUAGGCAAUUAUCUCCUACUUGAAGAUGGAGCAGAAAAAUGAAAGGCUGGAUUAUGGAAAUGAUAGCCCCCUAUCCUUUCCUUUACUAAAUCAAGUUUAGCUGCUUAAUGAUUUAUAUUCCAAUCAAAGGCAGGGGCUUUAAAGCUGCAACUCUCAGGUGUCCUGUCACAGAUGAUAGUAGUGGACCUUAAUAAUUGGUUUAGCUCUGUAGACAACAGCUAAGUAUUUGACUGCUUGUUGGCACUUUCAGGACAGGUAUCUGACAGGCUGGGCAUAGAAAACUAGUUGGUUUGGGUUUGGUGUUUUGGUUUUGGUUUUGUUUUUUCAGCCAGAAAGGUUUGGCCCUCCAAGUGUUGCAAGACAUUUGGUACCAUGCAUGGAACAGUAUCAAAAAUCACUUUUGUGCCUACACCGUGUAUCCUUUUUGGAAUAAAUGAAGGAAUUUAGUCUGUAGCCGGGAAUCAUAAACAGUCUCAACAAGCAAAGUGAAUACUCUGAUGUAAUGCUAUCGAGUGGAGUGAGAUCUUGUGUAUGACUUAUUGAGUGCAAAAGUGGUAUUGCUUUGAUAACUGGCUACCAUAAACGUAAGGUCUUUUUUCCAAAAGAGGCGAUACUUUUUUCUUCUUGAUUAUUUUUCAGGCUUAACGCAGAAGUCAAAUGACCACAUACGUUGACUCUGUUGGUUCCAAGCUAAGCAUGGAAACUAGUUUAUAUUCCAAAGCAAUUAUCUAUUUACUGUUGUAUUUUAAGGAAAUAGCCUCAUUUUCUCUACAGGUUGAGUAAUACUGUUUGUAAGCUACAAACGAGCAAGUGUUCAAUUUAAAUUUCCGUUGAGGAAACGUGAAUUGAGUGUUUUAGCGUAUCAGCACUAUAUGCUGUCAGAUUGUAAACCAGUAAAAGUUUUGGAUGAUUAAA